UACGUAGGGCGCAAGCGUUGUCCGGAAUUAUUGGGCGUAAGGAGCUCGUAGGCGGCCUGUUGCGUCCGCUGUGAAAUCCCGGGGCUCAACCCCGGGCCUGCAGUGGAUACGGGCUGGCUAGAGGCAGGCAGGGGAGAACGGAAUUCCUGGUGUAGCGGUGAAAUGCGCAGAUAUCAGGAGGAACACCGGUGGCGAAGGCGGUUCUCUGGGCCUGUACUGACGCUGAGGAGCGAAAGCGUGGGGAGCGAACAGG
rnacentral:rRNA from 1 species